AUGAACGCUAGCUACAGGCUUAACACAUGCAAGUCGAGGGGCAUCAGGAAGAAAGCUUGCUUUCUUUGCUGGCGACCGGCGCACGGGUGAGUAACACGUAUCCAACCUGCCCUUUACUCGGGGAUAGCCUUUCGAAAGAAAGAUUAAUACCCGAUAGCAUAAUGAUUCCGCAUGGUUUCAUUAUUAAAGGAUUCCGGUAAAGGAUGGGGAUGCGUUCCAUUAGGUUGUUGGUGAGGUAACGGCCCACCAAGCCUUCGAUGGAUAGGGGUUCUGAGAGGAAGGUCCCCCACAUUGGAACUGAGACACGGUCCAAACUCCUACGGGAGGCAGCAGUGAGGAAUAUUGGUCAAUGGGCGCUAGCCUGAACCAGCCAAGUAGCGUGAAGGAUGAAGGCUCUAUGGGUCGUAAACUUCUUUUAUAUAAGAAUAAAGUGCAGUAUGUAUACUGUUUUGUAUGUAUUAUAUGAAUAAGGAUCGGCUAACUCCGUGCCAGCAGCCGCGGUAAUACGGAGGAUCCGAGCGUUAUCCGGAUUUAUUGGGUUUAAAGGGAGCGUAGGUGGACUGGUAAGUCAGUUGUGAAAGUUUGCGGCUCAACCGUAAAAUUGCAGUUGAUACUGUCAGUCUUGAGUACAGUAGAGGUGGGCGGAAUUCGUGGUGUAGCGGUGAAAUGCUUAGAUAUCACGAAGAACUCCGAUUGCGAAGGCAGCUCACUGGACUGCAACUGACACUGAUGCUCGAAAGUGUGGGUAUCAAACAGGAUUAGAUACCCUGGUAGUCCACACAGUAAACGAUGAAUACUCGCUGUUUGCGAUAUACAGUAAGCGGCCAAGCGAAAGCAUUAAGUAUUCCACCUGGGGAGUACGCCGGCAACGGUGAAACUCAAAGGAAUUGACGGGGGCCCGCACAAGCGGAGGAACAUGUGGUUUAAUUCGAUGAUACGCGAGGAACCUUACCCGGGCUUAAAUUGCAGUGGAAUGAUGUGGAAACAUGUCAGUGAGCAAUCACCGCUGUGAAGGUGCUGCAUGGUUGUCGUCAGCUCGUGCCGUGAGGUGUCGGCUUAAGUGCCAUAACGAGCGCAACCCUUAUCUUUAGUUACUAACAGGUUAUGCUGAGGACUCUAGAGAGACUGCCGUCGUAAGAUGUGAGGAAGGUGGGGAUGACGUCAAAUCAGCACGGCCCUUACGUCCGGGGCUACACACGUGUUACAAUGGGGGGUACAGAAGGCAGCUAGCGGGUGACCGUAUGCUAAUCCCAAAAUCCUCUCUCAGUUCGGAUCGAAGUCUGCAACCCGACUUCGUGAAGCUGGAUUCGCUAGUAAUCGCGCAUCAGCCACGGCGCGGUGAAUACGUUCCCGGGCCUUGUACACACCGCCCGUCAAGCCAUGGGAGCCGGGGGUACCUGAAGUACGUAACCGCAAGGAUCGUCCUAGGGUAAAACUGGUGACUGGGGCUAAGUCGUAACAAGGUAACCCCGCAAGGAGCGUCCUAGGGUAAAACUGGUAAUUGGGGCU
rnacentral:rRNA from 1 species